rnacentral:rRNA from 1 species
AUGGGCAGCGAUCAAAAUGGCACAAGAAAAAGACAUAGGCAUUCCUAUGAAUCCUACCGGGGAACAAAUUUUAAGAAAACCAGAGCAAAGGUUCAGUUUGCAGACCUUUCUGAGGAUCUACUGUCUAUGAUUCUAUCAAAACUGCCAUUAAAGGACGCUGUAAGGACUGGCACUCUAUCAAGUAAAUGGAAAGAUAGGUGGAAGAUAUGCCCCAAACUAAGAUUUAAUGUUCUCACAGUGUCCAACGAUGUGUUUUAUGAGCGACAACACACUCAGAAAUUCAUUAAGACUGUUAAUGCAGUCAUGCAACAACAUCAGGGCACAUUUGUUGAAGAGCUCAUGAUCAAAUUUGGAUAUGACAACAGGCUAGUGAAUCAUAUCAAUACUUGGGUUGCUUUUGCUGUAUCGGCCCAGACAAAGAGUCUUGCCCUUGAUUUACCGCCGGGCGAUUUGUUGGUACCGCAAGUGGAUCAAUACAAAUUUCCUUUUAAUCUUUUAGAUAACAGAAGCAUAUUUUGGCUUCGUCAUCUGCAACUUAGUUUUGCAUCAUUUGAACUACCUCCUCAAUUCAAUGGUUUCCCGAAUCUAAGAACACUUGACUUGCUCUUGUUACGUGUCACUCGGAAGGAUCUUCAAGAUUUGCUAUCAAAUUGCAUUAAUCUUGAGUGGUUUAGUAUGGUUAGAUGCCACUUGAAUGACGAGCUGACAGUGGUUCGUCCAUUGUCAAAGUUAUUAUACUUGCGUGUUGGGCACUGUAAGAUAACAAAGAUAGUACUAAAUGCGAUGAAACUCAAAACUUUCAUGUUCUAUGGGCGGUUGUAUCCUGUUGACCUUGGGGAUGUUGCAGACCUAAAACAUGCAUUUCUUGAUUUAUAUACCCCAAUGACUCUUGAAUAUGCCUUGUCUGUACUUCCCAAAGUGCUUCCAAGUGUUCAAGAUCUGACAUUGCGUGCAUCUUUUGAACUCAAGAUGCCCUUGUGGAUGACAACCCCUUGCAAGUUCUCCAACUUAAAAUGUUUAGAUUUGAGGUUGGAUUUAAAUGACAAAGAAGAUGGCAAUAUUUUGUCUUUGGCCUCUUUUUUGAGUGUUUCUCCUUUCGUUGAAAAGUUAGCGAUUUAUUUUCAUGUUUUUGGUUUCCCACAUCGUGUUUCAGAGCCAAUUAAGAGUGUUCCCCGGUGUCCACAUAAUCAUCUAAAGAACCUACAUAUUACAGGAUUUUCUGGAACAACAACACAACUUGAAUUUCUAGUGCAUGUUGUUGAAAGUGCCCAUGCCCUGGAGAUUUUGACGAUUAAAGGAUCUGACAUAGUUGGCCGUCGUGUGGACCAUGAAUGGAUAAUAAAAUUCCUUUCCUUAUUUAGAGAACUAGAGAGAAAAUAUCUUCAUGAAAUAAUUUCACCAAAUGUGAAGCUCUCCAUUAUCUCUCGGGAAUAUAGAAUGCUCGAACUAGAGAAAGACAUGAAUUUUCUGGCAGAAAUCCGAGCUGCCUCAUUGUGUUAUGCAGCUCGUCAACGAGGAGGCCAAGAUUUGGGUAAUCGCAUGGAUGAAGAACUUGAGUAG